rnacentral:rRNA from 1 species
GACGAACGCUGGCGGCGUGCUUAACACAUGCAAGUCGAACGAUGAAGCCGGAGCUUGCUCUGGUGAAUUAGUGGCGAACGGGUGAGUAACACGUGAGUAACCUGCCCUUGACUCUGGGAUAACUGCGGGAAACUGUAGCUAAUACCGGAUACGACCCUCGGAGGCAUCUCCUGGGGGUGGAAAGAAUUUCGGUCAAGGAUGGACUCGCGGCCUAUCAGCUAGUUGGUGAGGUAAAGGCUCACCAAGGCGACGACGGGUAGCCGGCCUGAGAGGGUGACCGGCCACACUGGGACUGCGAGACGGCCCAGACUCCUACGGGAGGCAGCAGUGGGGAAUAUUGCACAAUGGGCGCAAGCCUGAUGCAGCAACGCGGCGUGAGGGAUGACGGCCUUCGGGUUGUAAACCUCUUUUAGCAGGGAAGAAGCGAAAGUGACGGUACCUGCAGAAAAAGCACCGGCUAACUACGUGCCAGCCGCCGCCGUAA